rnacentral:rRNA from 1 species
UACGUAGGUGGCAAGCGUUGUCCGGAAUUAUUGGGCGUAAAGCGCGCGCAGGUGGUUCUUUAAGUCUGAUGUGAAAGCCCACGGCUCAACCGUGGAGGGUCAUUGGAAACUGGGGAACUUGAGUGCAGAAGAGGAAAGUGGAAUUCCAAGUGUAGCGGUGAAAUGCGUAGAGAUUUGGAGGAACACCGGUGGCGAAGGCGGCAUCCUGGACCAACACUGACGCUGAGGAGCGAAAGCCAGGGGAGCAAACGGG